rnacentral:rRNA from 1 species
UACGGGGGGGGCAAGCGUUGUUCGGAAUUACUGGGCGUAAAGGGCUCGUAGGCGGCCAACUAAGUCAGACGUGAAAUCCCUCAGCUUAACCGGGGAACUGCGUCCGAUACUGGUUGGCUUGAGUUUGGGAGAGGGAUGCGGAAUUCCAGGUGUAGCGGUGAAAUGCGUAGAUAUCUGGAGGAACACCGGUGGCGAAGGCGGCAUCCUGGACCAAUACUGACGCUGAGGAGCGAAAGCCAGGGGAGCAAACGGG